CACGUAGGGCGCAAGCGUUGUCCGGAAUUAUUGGGCGUAAAGAGCUCGUAGGUGGUUUGUUACGUCUGCUGUGAAAACCUAGGGCUUAACCCUGGGCUUGCAGUGGAUACGGGCAGACUAGAGGUAGGUAGGGGAGAAUGGAAUUCCUGGUGUAGCGGUGAAAUGCGCAGAUAUCAGGAGGAACACCGGUGGCGAAGGCGGGUCUCUGGGCAAUAACUGACGCUGAGGAGCGAAAGCGUGGGGAGCGAACAGG
rnacentral:rRNA from 1 species